GGUCCUCCCGUUUCGGAAUUACCACGUCGGGUGGAUGCGGCUGCUUUUGUUGGCCUGCUGUUUGGUUUGAAUCUUGAUGACUUUGAUUUUAAUGACGGCUUUGCUUGAGAUGGUCAUGGUUUCAAGCCUAACAGAGGCUAUUGCGUCCAAGGUUACAACUUACCAGAACCUGCAGAUAGUGACAUGAUGCUGGCAGGAGGACUGCAAUUUCCAAAGGUUUAGGUUUACUGUUAUGAGGAAUAGAAAAUGCUGAAUUUUGCAAUUAUAUUGUGUAUUGCCUUCUUAUAAUUAAAUAACGUGUUUUUUCGAGGACUUCUUGUGGUGCGAUUAAACCUUGUUUUUGGCACCUCGCUGACAAAGAUUAUGCCGCUGUUAUAA